rnacentral:lncRNA from 1 species
ACAUUGGCGGUCCCAUUCGUGAAAUUGUCCGACGUAGAGAGGAAACCACUGGACAUUCUGUCCGACCUAAGUGAAACUGAGGUUUAUUGUUUGUCCGACCCGAGUGUAUUGGUGUCCGACCUAACUGUAACUUUGUCCAACGUAAAUCAAAGUGGACCCUAGUCCAGGACUAGAAGCUCGUAUGUUAAAUGGAGAAUCAGAGUAAUGUAUAAAAGGUGAACUGGAAAUGUGUAAUCAAGUGCGAGGUUUUCACCGUGGGGUUCGGAAAUUC